rnacentral:tRNA from 1 species
GGAGGCGUGCCAGAGGGGUCGAUUGGGGCAGACUGAUAAUCUGUAAAGGGUGGUGACACAUCCUUCGUGGGUUCAAAUCCCACCGCCUCCG